AUUGAACGCUGGCGGCAUGCCUUACACAUGCAAGUCGAACGGUAACAGGUCUUCGGAUGCUGACGAGUGGCGAACGGGUGAGUAAUACAUCGGAACGUGCCUAGUAGUGGGGGAUAACUACUCGAAAGAGUGGCUAAUACCGCAUGAGAUCUACGGAUGAAAGCAGGGGAUCGCAAGACCUUGUGCUAGUAGAGCGGCCGAUGGCAGAUUAGGUAGUUGGUGGGAUAAAAGCUUACCAAGCCGACGAUCUGUAGCUGGUCUGAGAGGACGAUCAGCCACACUGGGACUGAGACACGGCCCAGACUCGUACGGGAGGCAGCAGUGGGGAAUUUUGGACAAUGGGCGCAAGCCUGAUCCAGCAAUGCCGCGUGCAGGAUGAAGGCCUUCGGGUUGUAAACUGCUUUUGUACGGAACGAAAAGCCCUGGGUUAAUACCCUGGGGUCAUGACGGUACCGUAAGAAUAAGCACCGGCUAACUACGUGCCAGCCGCCGCAGUAAAAC
rnacentral:rRNA from 1 species